UGAAGCGGCAACGCUCAAUUUGAAUCUCGGCCCUCUCAGGGUCCGAGUUGUAAUUUGCAGAGGGUGCUUUGGCGAUGGCUGUGGUCUAAGUUCCUUGGAACAGGACGUCACAGAGGGUGAGAAUCCCGUACGUGGCCGCCAGCCUCCGCCGUGUAAAGCCCCUUCGACGAGUCGAGUUGUUUGGGAAUGCAGCUCUAAAUGGGAGGUAAAUUCCUUCUAAAGCUAAAUACUGGCCAGAGACCGAUAGCGCACAAGUAGAGUGAUCGAAAGAUGAAAAGCACUUUGGAAAGAGAGUCAAAAAGCACGUGAAAUUGUUGAAAGGGAAGCGCUUGCAGCCAGACUUGCCUGUAGUUGCUCACCGGGGCUCUUGCCCCGGGCACUCUUCUACGGGCAGGCCAGCAUCAGUCCGGGCGGUUGGAUAAAUGCCUGCUACAUGUACCUCUCUUCGGGGAGGACUUAUAGGGUAGGCGACAUACAGCCAGCCUGGACUGAGGUCCGCGCAUCUGCUAGGAUGCUGGCGUAAUGGCUGUAAGCGGCCCGUCUUGAAACACGGACCAAGGAGUCUAACAUCUAUGCGAGUGUUUGGGUGUAAAGCCCGAGCGCGGAAUGAAAGUGAACGGAGGUGGGAACCCCUCGGGGUGCACCAUCGACCGAUCCUGAUGUCUUCGGAUGGAUUUGAGUAUGAGCAUAGCUGUUGGGACCCGAAAGAUGGUGAACUAUGCCUGAAUAGGGUGAAGCCAGAGGAAACUCUGGUGGAGGCUCGCAGCGGUUCUGACGUGCAAAUCGAUCGUCAAAUUUGGGCAUAGGGGCGAAAGACUAAUCGAACCAUCUAGUAGCUGGUUCCUGCCGAAGUUUCCCUCAGG
rnacentral:rRNA from 1 species